UUACCAACCCGAUGCAAACUGCGAAUACCGGAGAAUGUUAUCACGGGAGACACACGGCGGGUGCUAACGUCCGUCGUGAAGAGGGAAACAACCCAGACCGCCAGCUAAGGUCCCAAAGUCAUGGUUAAGUGGGAAACGAUGUGGGAAGGCCCAGACAGCCAGGAUGUUGGCUUAGAAGCAGCCAUCAUUUAAAGAAAGCGUAAUAGCUCACUGGUCGAGUCGGCCUGCGCGGAAGAUGUAACGGGGCUAAACCAUGCACCGAAGCUGCGGCAGCGACGCUUAUGCGUUGUUGGGUAGGGGAGCGUUCUGUAAGCCUGUGAAGGUGUGCUGUGAGGCAUGCUGGAGGUAUCAGAAGUGCGAAUGCUGACAUAAGUAACGAUAAAGCGGGUGAAAAGCCCGCUCGCCGGAAGACCAAGGGUUCCUGUCCAACGUUAAUCGGGGCAGGGUGAGUCGACCCCUAAGGCGAGGCCGAAAGGCGUAGUCGAUGGGAAACAGGUUAAUAUUCCUGUACUUGGUGUUACUGCGAAGGGGGGACGGAGAAGGCUAUGUUGGCCGGGCGACGGUUGUCCCGGUUUAAGCGUGUAGGCUGGUUUUCCAGGCAAAUCCGGAAAAUCAAGGCUGAGGCGUGAUGACGAGGCACUACGGUGCUGAAGCAACAAAUGCCCUGCUUCCAGGAAAAGCCUCUAAGCAUCAGGUAACAUCAAAUCGUACCCCAAACCGACACAGGUGGUCAGGUAGAGAAUACCAAGGCGCUUGAGAGAACUCGGGUGAAGGAACUAGGCAAAAUGGUGCCGUAACUUCGGGAGAAGGCACGCUGAUAUGUAGGUGAAG
rnacentral:rRNA from 1 species